rnacentral:rRNA from 1 species
UAAUACAGAGGGGGCAAGCGUUGUUCGGAAUUACCGGGCGUAAAGGGCGCGUAGGCGGCCUGCUAAGUCGAACGUGAAAUCCCCGGGCUCAACCCGGGAACUGCGUUCGAGACUGGCGGGCUUGAAUUCGGGAGAGGGAUGCGGAAUUCCAGGUGUAGCGGUGAAAUGCGUAGAUAUCUGGGGGAACACCGGUGGCGAAGGCGGCAUCCUGGACCGACAUUGACGCUGAGGCGCGAAAGCCAGGGGAGCAAACGGG